CUCAUUGCCAAAUGAAUGUGACACCUCAAAACGAAAGGACAGUUCACAAUUCGGGAAGAGAAACCCAAUUGGCUCUUCAAUCACGAGCCCAAAAGAAGUAGGCUAUUGCUUACAGACCAGCGCUCAAGUUCUCCCCAUAACGGUGCAGCAAAUAAACAACCUACACUGGCAGAACUCCGUCCUGGCAAGAUGAAAACACAGAUUCAGCAUAUUCUCUCUCUCUGAGGGUGGGGGAUCCGUGGAAUCAGAGGCCAUGGAUUUAGUCUCCUUCAUCCAGAGUGUAUUAACACAAGGCAUAUUAAAUAAAAAGUAUACUUUGCAUCUGUUUAUCAUUAUUUGAAAUUCUCAAAUGCAGCACUCUUUCAAUCUUGAUAUGAAGCAUGUGCAUGCAUUUA